rnacentral:rRNA from 1 species
CCAAGGCGAUGAUGGGUAGCCGGCCUGAGAGGGUGUACGGCCACACUGGGACUGAGAUACGGCCCAGACUCCUACGGGAGGCAGCAGCUAAGAAUAUUCCGCAAUGGACGGAAGUCUGACGGAGCGACGCCGCGUGGAUGAAGAAGGCCGAAAGGUUGUAAAGUUCUUUUGCUAGGGGAGAAUAAGUGUGGGAGGGAAUGCCUGCACGAUGACAAGGACUAGCGAAUAAGUCCCGGCCAACUACGUGCCAGCAGCCGCGGUAACACGUAGGGGGCGAGCGUUGUUCGGAAUUACUGGGCGUAAAGGGCAUGUAGGCGGCUUGGUAAGCCUGGCGUGAAAGUCUGCAGCUUAACUGUAGGGAUGCGUUGGGAACUGCUUAGCUUGAGUUACGGAGAGGGAGCUGGAAUUCCUGGUGUAGGGGUGAAAUCUGUAGAUAUCAGGAAGAACACCGAUGGCGAAGGCAAGCUUCUGGCCGACAACUGACGCUGAGGUGCGAAAGUGUGGGGAUCAAACAGGAUUAGAUACCCUGGUAGUCCACACAGUAAACGAUGUGCACGAGGUGCUGGGGCGGUAGUUUCAGUGCCGGAGCGAACGC